rnacentral:rRNA from 1 species
GAUGAACGCUGGCGGCGUGCCUAAUACAUGCAAGUCGAGCGAACGGACGAGAAGCUUGCUUUUCUGAUGUUAGCGGCGGACGGGUGAGUAACACGUGGAUAACCUACCUAUAAGACUGGGAUAACUUCGGGAAACCGGAGCUAAUACCGGAUAAUAUUUUGAACCGCAUGGUUCAAAAGUGAAAGACGGUCUUGCUGUCACUUAUAGAUGGAUCCGCGCUGCAUUAGCUAGUUGGUAAGGUAACGGCUUACCAAGGCAACGAUGCGUAGCCGACCUGAGAGGGUGAUCGGCCACACUGGAACUGAGACACGGUCCAGACUCCUACGGGAGGCAGCAGUAGGGAAUCUUCCGCAAUGGGCGAAAGCCUGACGGAGCAACGCCGCGUGAGUGAUGAAGGUCUUCGGAUCGUAAAACUCUGUUAUUAGGGAAGAACAUAUGUGUAAGUAACUGUGCACAUCUUGACGGUACCUAAUCAGAAAGCCACGGCUAACUACGUG